rnacentral:rRNA from 1 species
AAGUCGUAACAAGGUUUCCGUAGGUGAACCUGCGGAAGGAUCAUUAUUGAAUGAACUUGGUGUGGUUGUUGCUGGCUCUCUCGGGGGCAUGUGCACACCCACCAUUCUCAUCUCUCCACCUGUGCACCUCCUGUAGACCUGGAUAGACUUUCCGAGGCAACUCGGUCGGGAAGAUUGCUGCGCUCUGUGAGCCAGCUUUCUUUGCAUGUCUAGGCCUAUGUUUUUCAUAUACCCCUAUAGAAUGUAACAGAAUGUAUCAUUGGGCCUUGUGCCUAUAAACCUUAUACAACUUUCAGCAACGGAUCUCUUGGCUCUCGCAUCGAUGAAGAACGCAGCGAAAUGCGAUAAGUAAUGUGAAUUGCAGAAUUCAGUGAAUCAUCGAAUCUUUGAACGCACCUUGCGCUCCUUGGUAUUCCGAGGAGCAUGCCUGUUUGAGUGUCAUUAAAUUCUCAACCUUAUUAGCUUUUGCUGAUAAUGGAUUGGAUGUGGGGGUUUCUUUUGCCGGCUUCUUCACAGAGGUCAGCUCCCCUUAAAUGCAUUAGCUGGUGCCCCGAGUGGACCAUCUAUUGGUGUGAUAAUUAUCUACGCCGUGGAUGUCUGCAAUCAUAUGGGUUUUGCACUGCUUCUAACCGUCUGUUCAUUCGGACAAUACAUGACAAUUUGACCUCAAAUCAGGUAGGACUACCCGCUGAACUUAA